CCCCUGACCCCGUCUCCUUCCCCCGACGCAUCUGACCUUCCUUCCCACUCCCUUCUGUUCACAAACUGUGAUCAUCGGAUCACCGGCAUCCAAGCCAGGGCACUUAAGUGUUUCCUUGGAGGGCAUAAGGAAGAGCAUGUCGGCCUCCCUCCUCCGAAGCCCUGACGUUGACUUUGAGCGGAGAGGCCUUAGAGCUGGCUGUGCCUCUUCCUCGGGUCUCUCUCUACAACCAGAGGGAAAUUGAGACCCAAAGAAAGGAAGUGAUUCAUUGGAUCAGAAAAGCAGCAGAUUGUGGAAGGGGACCUGGGAACCUCCUCCAAAUAUAAAGACUGCCCUGGUCUUUAUAGUACCUACUGCCUUCAGAGCAAUGACACUAACACUUGUGGGCUGUGUACUGGGCGUCCGCUACCGUGCAAGGGAUUUGGAGGAUAGGGUGAUGGGUAAGAGGUGGCCUUGGCCUUCAAGAAGCUUUCAACCUAGUAUGAGAAUUAGAUAUGAAGUCAGCAGCAGUGUAAGGCAGAAUGAAAAAAAAAUAGUGAUGUCUUUGAAA